CCUCGGCCAGCUCCCGGGCGCUGCACGAGGGUGUGGGCACCUCGAAGGUCUGGUGGAAGCUGGCAUAGUCCACCUCGUAGAAGCCGUCCUCCAGCGUGAGCACCGACGUGAACCGGUGGCCCCACAGCACCUCGUCCACCAGGCCGUCCCACUGGAGCCCGACGACGGGGCAUCGAGCUUCUCCUUCCCACUACCCGGGAUGGGGCGCUCAGCGCCUCACAAGCGUUGCCGCCCCGAACAGGUUGUUUGUUUCUAAUAAGAGCUAAACUCUGCCGCUGGCCAUUUCACACCCCUUCAAGUAUCUGAAAACAGGAGCCUCGGGGCCCAUCACGUCUUUUCUUCAGGCUGCACGUCCCUGGCUCCCUCCAUCCUUCCUCAUGCGACCUGGCUCCCCCCGAUUUUGCCGUCUUGAUGGCAAACCUGAAUGGCCGAGGGGACCCCUUUUGGCACUUUGAGCGUGAUACGUGUCCGGCUGUGGCCCGCGCCACGCAUGGAGAGGGCUCACCACCUCUCUCCCGGCCAUGAGGCUGUCGCUAAUAGGGCCCAAGACUGCGUUACAUAAGCGUUUUUGGAAGCUGGAUCACACUGCUGCAACAUUAAGCCUGUGGCCAACUGAAACCCCCGGUUUUUUUUCGCCCCAGCUCUUCAAUGCGGUGCUUACAUAAGUGAUUUUUUUAAAGCCUAAAUGUAGAAUUUUAUAUUUAUUCCUUUUAAAUGUCAUCUCGUUGGGCUUUGGCUCAUUUUA